rnacentral:rRNA from 1 species
AGAGUUUGAUCCUGGCUCAGAGCGAACGCUGGCGGCAGGCUUAACACAUGCAAGUCGAGCGCCGUAGCAAUACGGAGCGGCAGACGGGUGAGUAACACGUGGGAACGUACCUUUUGGUUCGGAACAACACAGGGAAACUUGUGCUAAUACCGGAUAAGCCCUUACGGGGAAAGAUUUAUCGCCGAAAGAUCGGCCCGCGUCUGAUUAGCUAGUUGGUGAGGUAACGGCUCACCAAGGCGACGAUCAGUAGCUGGUCUGAGAGGAUGAUCAGCCACACUGGGACUGAGACACGGCCCAGACUCCUACGGGAGGCAGCAGUGGGGAAUAUUGGACAAUGGGCGCAAGCCUGAUCCAGCCAUGCCGCGUGAGUGAUGAAGGCCCUAGGGUUGUAAAGCUCUUUUGUGCGGGAAGAUAAUGACUUACCGCAAGAAUAGCC